rnacentral:rRNA from 1 species
GAUGAACGCUGGCGGCGUGCCUAAUACAUGCAAGUCGAGCGAACAGACGAGGAGCUUGCUCCUCUGACGUUAGCGGCGGACGGGUGAGUAACACGUGGAUAACCUACCUAUAAGACUGGGAUAACUUCGGGAAACCGGAGCUAAUACCGGAUAAUAUAUUGAACCGCAUGGUUCAAUAGUGAAAGACGGUUUUGCUGUCACUUAUAGAUGGAUCCGCGCCGCAUUAGCUAGUUGGUAAGGUAACGGCUUACCAAGGCGACGAUGCGUAGCCGACCUGAGAGGGUGAUCGGCCACACUGGAACUGAGACACGGUCCAGACUCCUACGGGAGGCAGCAGUAGGGAAUCUUCCGCAAUGGGCGAAAGCCUGACGGAGCAGCGCCGCGUGAGUGAUGAAGGUCUUCGGAUCGUAAAACUCUGUUAUUAGGGAAGAACAAAUGUGUAAGUAACUAUGCACGUCUUGACGGUACCUAAUCAGAAAGCCACGGCUAACUACGUG